rnacentral:rRNA from 1 species
AAUAGAUACCCGGGUAGUCCACGCCGUAAACGAUGAGUGCUAGGUGUUAGGGGGGUUUCCGUCCCUUAGUGCUGCAGCUAACGCAUUAAGCACUCCGCCUAGGGAGUACGGUCGCAAGACUGAAACUCAAAGGAAUUGACGGGGGCCCGCACAAGCGGUGGAGCAUGUGGUUUAAUUCGAAGCAACGCGAAGAACCUUACCAGGUCUUGACAUCCCGCUGACCGCCAUGGAGACAUGGCUUUCCCUUCGGGGACAGCGGUGACAGGUGGUGCAUGGUUGUCGUCAGCUCGUAUCGUGAGAUGUUGGGUUAAGUCCCGCAACGAGCGCAACCCUUGUCCUUAGUUGCCAUCAUUCAGUUGGGCACUCUAAGGAGACUGCCGUACAAAUACGGAGGAAGGUGGGGAUGACGUCAAAUCAUCAUGCCCCUUAUGACCUGGGCUACACACGUGCUACAAUGGGUGGUACAAAGGGCAGCAAACCCGCGAGGGGGAGCGAAUCCCAAAAAGCCACUCUCAGUUCGGAUUGCAGGCUGC